rnacentral:rRNA from 1 species
GCAGCAGCCGCGGGAAUACGAGGGGGGCAAGCGUUGUUCGGAAUUAUUGGGCGUAAAGGGUGCGUAGGCGGCUUGACAAGUCUUGUGUGAAAUCUAUGGGCUCAACCCAUAGUCUGCACGGGAAACUGUCGGGCUUGAGAAUGGGAGAGGUGAGUGGAAUUUCCGGUGUAGCGGUGAAAUGCGUAGAUAUCGGAAGGAACACCUGUGGCGAAAGCGGCUCACUGGACCAUUUCGGACGCUGAUGCACGAAAGCUAGGGGAGCAAACAGGAUUAGAUACCCCCGUAGUCCCUGUCUCUUAUAC